AAUGAACGUUGGCGGCGUGGAUUAGGCAUGCAAGUCGAACGAGAAGCUUUUAAAAGAUACCUCGGUUGAUUUAAAAGUGGACAGUGGCGAAAGGGAGAGUAACGAGUAGAUACGUACCCAGGGGUCUGGGAUAGCUGCGGGAAACUGCAGGUAAUACCGGAUAAUGUCUCCGGACCAAAGAUUUAUUGCCCUUGGAGCGGUCUGCUUACUAUUAGCUUGUUGGUGAGGUAAUGGCUCACCAAGGCAAAGAUGGUUAGCGGGUGUGAGAGCAUGGCCCGUCUCACUGGGACUGAGACACUGCCCAGACACCUACGGGUGGCUGCAGUCGAGAAUCUUCCGCAAUGGACAAAGUCUGACGGAGCGACGCCGCGUGCGGGAUGAAGGCCUUCGGUUGUAACCGC
rnacentral:rRNA from 1 species